UGGGUUUUUACCAUGUUGGUUAGGCUGGUCUUGAACUCCUGACCUCAAGCAAUCCUCCCGCCUCAGCCUCCUAAAGUGCUGGGAUUACAGGUGUGAGCCACUGUGCCCGGCCCCAGUACAUAGAUUCUGACAACACACACUACUUCUUGUGGUUAUUACCUCUGUCUUACUUCAGUGUUCGUGUUUAGAUUUUUCCUCUCCCUCUAAUAUGUUUUAUUGAAAGUAACUUCUUUUAUUAAAUGACACCUCUGAAAUAUGUAGUGCAGUUCCUGUUCUCCUGGCUGGACCCUGACUGAUGCCAUGGGGAAAGCCCUCGGGCUCGUGGACCUUAAAUUCCAGGUCCUGUUGUGCCCAACUCAUGAUUUAUCCAGGUCACACCAGUCUGGUCUGUCACAGUAAGAGCUGGCCCCUUUUCUUCAGGGCCACCAGGAAACACACCUUCAGGAAGCACCUUUUCUGUUCUAUCCCAAAGGGCACCAUCACAUACACUAUAAUAUGAAUCAUGACCCCCGGAGUUGUGUGGAGUUUCUGCAUCUCUCCCUCCCCACUGUGGCUACCCUCAUCCAGCAACCAUCCUGUCUCUCACCGGUAUUACCGCAGCUGAGACCCAGGUCUUAAGGAAGCUGAGACCCAGGCCAGCAGGGGCCUCACAGCUUGGAAAAAGAGGAGGGUGUAAGACUCUGGAUGAAGCUGAGAGAUCCUUCCAUGCUUGGCUGAGAGACUACACAGACAUGAGCUUCAGGAGACUCCAAAGCCUCGGAUCCCCUUCUAAACUAGCACUGAAUUCUGAUUGGCUGUCUUUGCCUGCCUCAGUUUGUUCCUUUUACUGAUUGGCUAGGUUCUUCUGCCCAUGGCAGAGCCCUGCUCCAGCCACCGGAUCCUCCCACCUGCCACAGUGUCACCUGGGAUUGGCUGGGCUCUGAAAGGCCAGGCUGGCUUGACUCUUGCCAUCAUCAGAUUCUUCCUCAUUAAACAAAUGAAUCACAAUCCUAAUUAAUUUGAGCAACAGAAUUUAUGUAACUACUCCCAGCAGGAUGUCUGCUCUCAGUCAGCAGAGAGAUUACUUCCUCUCUCUGGGAAAUUCCAGCCUUGCUGGUCAAUAAGCCUUAAUGAUGACUGAAAUCUCCCAUCUGUCUCUGCUCAGGGCAGGUAACCCCUACUAAGCAGACACCCAGUUGGCUCGAGGCAGUACCCCGGGCACCGGCAGGACAAGGACAACGAUCUCCCAGCCUAGAUGUGUCCUGAGCCACAUGGAGCACACAGAUUACAGGAUCUGACUCCCAUUUGGGCCUUCCACCUCCGCUGGCCUAAGCAGUCAAGUGUCAGAGAGCACUGGACCUAACAGCUCCCUCACCAGAGCAGCUGUGAUUCCUUCUUCAUUUCCAGCAGGGAAGACCCAACAACUUUUAUAAUAUGGGAUUUCUUUUAUUCUCAUGAUAAUAAUGUUCAUUGUGGAAAAUAAAAAAAAAUGAUAAAAUAAAAAUCAGCCAGAAUUCCAACUUCUGGAGAUUUUGGUGUCUUUCUGCAAAGUUCCUAUGCACAUAGAUACUUUAUAAAAUUAUGAACAUACUGUACAUACAGUUUUGGAAUAUGCCUUUUUCCUUCUGUCAUGAAAAAGUCUUCAAAUGCCUUUUAACAGCUACACAAUAGUUCACUACAUGAACCAACUCAAAUGUAACUAUUUUUGGCCUUUUGUUAUAAAUAACACAAGAACCCUCAGUCUUUGUUACAUAAUGUCCUAACAGAGUAGGGGAAAUGCUCCCCAAUCCGGUGCAAUGUCCUGUGCCCAGGGAAACCAAUU
rnacentral:lncRNA from 10 species